rnacentral:rRNA from 1 species
AGUGAACGCUGGCGGUAGGCCUAACACAUGCAAGUCGAACGGCAGCACAGUAAGAGCUUGCUCUUACGGGUGGCGAGUGGCGGACGGGUGAGGCAUACAUCGGAAUCUACUUUUUCGUGGGGGAUAACGUAGGGAAACUUACGCUAAUACCGCAUACGACUAACGGGUGAAAGCAGGGGAUAAUCGGACCUUGCGCGACUGAAUGAGCCGAUUUCGGAUUAGCUAGUUGGCGGGGUAAAGGCCCACCAAGGCGACGCUCCGUAGCUUGUCUGAGAGGAUGAUCAGCCAAAUGGAAACUGAGACACGUCCCGGACUCUAAGGGGGGGCAGAGGUGGGAAAUAUGAGACAAUGGGCGCAAGCCUAAGCCAGCCAUACCGCGGGGGUGAAGAAGGCCUUCGAGUUGUAAACCCCUUUUGUUGGGAAAGAAAAGUAGCAGGAUAACACCGCACUGUUCUGAGGGUACCAAAAGGAGAGGCACAGGCUAAUUUCGU